rnacentral:rRNA from 1 species
CCUACGGGAGGCAGCAGUGGGGAAUUUUCCGCAAUGGGCGCAAGCCUGACGGAGCAACGCCGCGUGAGGGAUGAAGGCCUCUGGGCUGUAAACCUCUUUUCUCAAGGAAGAAGACCUGACGGUACUUGAGGAAUAAGCCACGGCUAAUUCCGUGCCAGCAGCCGCGGUAAUACGGGAGUGGCAAGCGUUAUCCGGAAUUAUUGGGCGUAAAGCGUCCGCAGGCGGCCUAUUAAGUCUGUCGUUAAAGCGUGGAGCUCAACUCCAUUUAAGCGAUGGAAACUGGAAGGCUAGAGUGUGGUAGGGGCAGAGGGAAUUCCCGGUGUAGCGGUGAAAUGCGUAGAUAUCGGGAAGAACACCAGUGGCGAAGGCGCUCUGCUGGGCCAUAACUGACGCUCAUGGACGAAAGCCAGGGGAGCGAAAGGGAUUAGAUACCCCUGUAGUCCUGGCCGUAAACGAUGAACACUAGGUGUCGGGGGAAUCGACCCCCGUCGGUGUCGUAGCUAACGCGUUAAGUGUUCCGCCUGGGAGUACGCACGCAAGUGUGAACUUAAAGGAAUUGACG